AGAAGCGGAGAUAUCUUUNUUUGACAAAAAGACCCCAUGGAGCUUCAAAUCUAAAUUAGUCAUAUGUACUAAAAAUAUAAUAAACAAUUUAAUGUAAGAUUUUGGGUUGGGGCGACCGCGGAGUAAACUUUAACCUCCGAGACAAAUAAUUAAGAAAGACAUUUCAAAAUAAUAAAAUAACUAAUAUACUUGAUCCAAUAUUUGAUCAACGAACCAAGUUACCCUGGGGAUAACAGCGCAAUCCUUUUAAAGAGUUCAUAUCGACAAGAGGGUUUACGACCUCGAUGUUGGAUCAGGGCCCCCAAAUGGUGCAGCAACUAUUAAAGGUUCGUUUGUUCAACGAUUAAAGCCCUACGUGAUCUGAGUU
rnacentral:rRNA from 1 species